CCUAGCUGUUUGUCCUAUCUCCAAACAUAUCUCUGGGCUGCAGCUUAAUAGAUAAGGACAAGACAGGGCCACUGGGUCCCCCAGAGAUAUCUUCACACCAGCACAAGACUAGAACCCUUCCUCGGGACUCCUGGCUAAUGCCCAGGGAGAGCAGGAACCCAGGAGUCCACGGUUCUCGGGCUGGGGAUAAUUCUAGGGUGACCCAACGCCCAGCAGAAUGGCUCCGGCCUCUGUCCUGUCCCCUUGCGAGUAGCACUGGCUUCUGUGUCCCCCUCUCAUUGUAGCUCUGGAGCCCCUGGGCCCCUUCCUGCCCUUUUAUGUCCAGAGAAGUGGCCACCUUUGUCUGCAGGACAGCCUUCUUCCUCUCUCUGCCCCCUCUGCACCCCCAGCCCAUCCUGUUACACUGAGCUCCACGGCACUUCCUGCCAGGUAGGAAGAAACCCUGGGCUCUGAGCAUCUUGACCUUCAAGGCAUGUGCCGAGAUGCCAGGGAGGGAGAAUUCAAAGCAACACAGCCCUGCUAGAGAAAGCGCAGCCAUGGAAGCCAACCUGGCCACUGCUCACCCUGUGAGCUGCACCCCCUCCAGGCUGAGGGGAGCACGGGCCAGGGGCCCAGGGACAUGUAGGCAAAGCGGGAUACACUGGGCUCCCCUGCCACUGUCGGGUUACUCAUCACCAUGCUCAGGUCAUCCGCCCUGGCUCCGGAGGCUGUAGGGAACGCGGCUGUCUGGCGCGGGGGUGGUGGGGUGGCAGGUGCAGCCUGAGGCUGCCUGCAGGUGACGCUGGGUCCUCAGGAGCAGUGCUCCAUCAGUGUCACUGCAUAGCUGCAUUUCAGGAUUGAGGACAGAGAUGACAGAGCCUCGCCAUCACUGUGGCGGAAAUGAAACUCCCUGCUGGGGGUGGGGUCGGAGGCUGGGCCCAGGGAGCCUGACCAGGAAGCAGGAGGGAGCCGGCCCCAGCGUGGCACGACAGCACCCACCUCUCCGGCUUCUCUCCUCUGCAGCCGGGUGCAGCUGUCCCUGGGAGUGGAGGCUGCAGGCAGAGUUGCACUGGGGUGGCCAGGAUGUGGGCAGCCAGUCUAGGGAAGUGAGAACUGGGUCAGGAGGACAAGACAGAACAAUGGAUGGAAGGGAUCCCAAGCUGGGCAAGCCUUGCUGACUCUCAAAACUGAGCCGCCUGUGGUGUUUGAAGGAGAUGCCCUGACCCUGCGAUGCCAGGGAAGGAAGCAUGCGGUCCUAUCCCACGUGAGGUUCCACAAAGUCGGAAGUUACCAUAGGCCCUCUGACAAUGGCCCUUCUCUGACCCUGGGGACAGCCACAACAGCAAACAGUGGCCUAUACAGGUGCACAGCACAGUUGACCCAUUUCCCGCACGUGGGCACACAAACCUCAGAGACUGUCAUGGUUCAAAUCCGAGUGCUGUUCCCCACUCCUGUGCUGAGCGCCAUCCCCUUUUCCCGACCCCGUGUGGGGAGCCCGCUGACCCUGAGAUGCCAGACACAGCUGCACCCCUGGAGGCCGGCCUCCCGGCUCCUCUUCUCCUUCUACAAAGGUGGUCAGGCCUUGAGGGGCUGGGGCCCCAACCCAAAACUCGAUAUCCCCGAAGUCCAGGCGGAACACUCUGGGUGUUACAGGUGUAAGGCCGCCCUUAGGGCUGGUCUGGUCCAGAAGGACAGCCUCCUGCUGGAGAUCACGGUGUGGGUUCCUGCGUCCCCACCUGUGCUCACCCUGAGACCGCCACACGGCAUCCUCACUGUGGGGGACAUGGUGGAGCUCCGCUGUGAGGCCGAGAGGGGCACCCCUCCAAUCCUGUACACGUUCUACCUGCAUGAGAAGAUCCUGGGGAGCUGCUUGGCUCCCCGUGGAGGUGCCACUUCCCACCUCACCUCCAUGACAUCAGAGCAGGAUGCCAGGAACUACUCCUGCCGGGCAGAGAACAACAUCUCCGAAGAGUCGAACCAGCCAGCGACACUCUGCCUGCAUGGUCCUCGGGUCCUGUCUGCCCCCCCAAGCAGCAACAGGCUGGCUCCUUGGCUGUCUGCAGUCCUGCUGGGCAUGGCGGUCACCACCGCUGCACUUCUGCGCUAUUUCAGACCCUGGAGAAAAAACGCCUCUCGGGCCCCACCAUCCAGCCUGCUCUCCAAGGGACCUCAGCAAAUUGUGCCUUCGCAUCUCCUAGGGCCCCUGCCAGCCCAGAAUCCGCCCCCAGCCCCGGGUGAAGAGCAGGACGCACUGUAUGUCAACGUUCGUUACCAGAAUGAUGGUGAUGAAGGCACUAUUUCCUCGGAGGUGUGUGUAGUCCAAAAUAAUAGGGGCACCAGGACAGUGGACAGACAAGGAGUCUCCCGGGCUCAGGGCAGCUCCCCCAGGGCCUGACUGUUCCUGCCUACAGCGCGGCCAGGGCAGCCUGGCCUUCAGAGUCAACUUCUGAGGCAGAGGUCCAGUCCAUGUCCACAAUAUACCAGAACCCUCUCAGCACCCUCUGACUCUGCCAGACUCUCUGAGGAAUGCACGCCAGGCCAUCAAGGAGGACAGGGUCCGCACCAGUCAAUCAGGAAGCACCCACCAAGCCCAAGCCCUCAUGCCCUCUAUAAACAAGGGCCCCUGUCAACAGUGAAGACACAGAGGAUGCAGGAGCCACCGGUGAUGGGGAGCAGGAAGGAGCCGGUCCGCCCUAAGGGCGCCCAUCUCUCCUGCCCCUACAGCAGAGUUGCCCAACCCUUGGUCCAGGACCCGGGGCCCAUCUGUGAAUUGUCUUUACCCAUCCAGGAUAAGUAGAACAAUUGAAAGCAAGACCUUAGCAAUCUUCAUAGCAAUCGGACAGAGUAAUUGUUUGUUUGCUUAACAUAAUCAUAAAAAAUUAGGGUUUGUAUUUUGUAUGCCUCUUUUAAUUUCAAAUCUUUUUAGUAAUUUGCCUGUAUUGUAUUUUACAAACAUAUAGGUCCCCAAUGCAUUGGAAAUAAAAAACGAAAGCAGGUGUUUGAAUGCAGUUGGUGAGAAGUCCUACCCUGAACCAGACACACACACACACCCGGCCUUCCUUAACCUGCACCUCGCCCUCCUCAGAACCUCUCCCCGCUCUCAGCUCUGUUUGCACAGCUGAAAAUAUCCUUUUCGCUUAGUUUAGAAAAAAAUGACCUGGGAUUUUUUGAAAAGGAGCAAUUACUAAGAAAACUGAAGAAAAAGGAAAGCCGCCAAAAGAACACAGAGAAAGUAGCACCUUCAGAGGAGACUCACGUCCUUCGGCCCAGACCCACUCGGUUGCCGAGAUCAGCACUGCCCGCCCCAAAGUCCUGCGGCCCUGAGGCAGGAACCUACUCCUCCUCCCAGGAGACACUGGUGGGCAGGCGCAGAGGGGCCGUCCCCAAGGGGGAUGGGGCUUCCACAGCUCCCCAGGGACAGGCCCCGCACCGCAGAGGGAUACCAAGGCCCCCAGCCUCCCACUGCGACACCGCGGAGAGACGCCACGGCCCCCAGCCUCCCGCUGCGCUGCUCACCACGGGACUGACUGCCCACAGCAGCCUCCACACAUUCUCAAGGCUCUGCACUGUGAAAUGUUUUUCUCUCCAAGUCAGAGCUAAGUGCAAACGCUUGACCAGCCAGAAUGAGUUGGCUGGGCCUCUUCUGGGACCUGGGCCCUGUGGGGUCACAUCACCUCCAGGGUAAGAAGAGAAGAAAGAACUCUGUAGCUGGCUUGAGGGUGGAGAGGCAGCUAGGAGCCCCCCGUUAAGGGACAGGGGGAGGAAGGGGCCAGCUGGGAGCCUCAUGGCUGCCCUCUGGUGGCCCUCUUGGGUCGCCCAGGACUUGAGUCCUGGCCAACACUGGUCUCCUCCUUUCCUACAUGACUUCAUUGUAAGACACCAUUAGACACCCGGUCCUUGCUUCUUAUGUUGCUAAACAAUUUAAACACAAGCAACAAAAAUGGAACUGGCCAGGCAGGCUGCACAUGUUGGGAUUUUUUUCAUUGCAGGUUUGUUACUUUAUAUUUGGCUAGGAAAUAGGGUCUUCUCCAUUACUAUUAAACAAGCAUCAAUUAAA